GGACCCGCACAAGUAGUGGAGCAUGUGGUUUAAUUCGAAGAUACGCGCAGAACCUUACCAACACUUGACAUGUUCGUCGCGACUUUAAGAGAUUAAAGUUUUCGGUUCGGCCGGACGAAACACAGGUGCUGCAUGGCUGUCGUCAGCUCGUGUCGUGAGAUGUUGGGUUAAGUCCCGCAACGAGCGCAACCCUCACUUUUAGUUGCCAUCAUUUAGUUGGGCACUCUGAAAGAACUGCCAGUGAUAAGCUGGAGGAAGGUGGGGAUGACGUCAAGUCCUCAUGGCCCUUACGUGUUGGGCUACACACGUGCUACAAUGGUAUCUACAACAGGAAGCAAAACCGCGAGGUUAAGCAAAUCCCAAUAAACCGUGGCUCAGUUCAGAUCGUAGGCUGCAACUCGCCUACGUGAAGGCGGAAUCGCUAGUAAUCG
rnacentral:rRNA from 1 species